GAUGAACGCUGGCGGUAUGCCUAACACAUGCAAGUCGAACGAAGUCUUCGGACUGAGUGGCGGACGGGUGAGUAACGCGUGAGAAUCUGCCUUCAGGAUGGGGAUAACAGUGGGAAACCACUGCUAAUACCCAAUGUGCCGAAAGGUGAAAAUUAUUUUGCCUGAAGAGGAGCUCGCGUCUGAUUAGCUAGUUGGUGGGGUAAAAGCUUACCAAGGCAACGAUCAGUAGCUGGUCUGAGAGGAUGAGCAGCCACACUGGGACUGAGACACGGCCCAGACUCCUACGGGAGGCAGCAGUGGGGAAUUUUCCGCAAUGGGCGAAAGCCU
rnacentral:rRNA from 1 species